UCUUCCUAAAGGUGUCGUCUUUCAUCUUUUCUUCAAGGGAGAGGAGUUUAUUGAUGGUGCCACACACUUCAAGGCUCAUCUCCUCUGCUUGCUGGCAAGUCCCAUCACCCAGGGCACGAGCAUAAAGUUCAUGCAUGGCUGCUAUUGAGCUCCUCAUUGCCUUCAUCUCACUUUCUAUGGUUACUAUUUUUUGAAUGAGGAGGGUAAGGAGGUGAUCUGAGGAGAAUCAAUAUUGAUUCGUUAAAAUUAAGGACCUGGUUUAACCAGCAGUGGAGAGAGUCAUGAAGGAGAAUCACCAAAUAACACCGAUAACGAAGGGUGUCUCUGGGUGGAGUUGGCCUUAUUGGCACAUCUGGCAUGGGAAGCUCUUCACAUCUUGAUGGCAUCUUUAUUGAUUGAUUGAAGGUGGUUUGCCUGUUGGGUAAUUUAAAUUUUUUAUUUUCCGGUGAAACUGGCAGCUGAGGUUCCACUGUUGUAAUAAUAAAAGUUAAAUAAUAAAAAAAGUAUACUGGUAUUGGGAUUGACUACUGAAAUUUAGUUAUUCUGACACUUUUUGUAUGAAAAUGUACACAAGUUGUAAAGGUAUAGUAAAGGUAUAGUUCACCCAAAAAUCUAAAAUAUGUCAUUAAUAACUCACCCUCAUGUCGUUCCAAACCCGUGAGACCUCCGUUUAUCUUCAGAACACAGUUUAAGAUAUUUUAGAUUUAGUCCGAGAGCUCUCAGUCCCUCCAUUUGAAGCU
rnacentral:lncRNA from 1 species